rnacentral:rRNA from 1 species
UACGUAGGUGACCAGCGUUGUCCGGAUUUACUGGGCGUAAAGAGCGCGCAGGCGGCUUUGCAAGACAGAUGUGAAAUCCCCGGGCUUAACCUGGGAACUGCAUUUGUGACUGCAUGGCUGGAGUGCGGCAGAGGGGGAUGGAAUUCCGCGUGUAGCAGUGAAAUGCGUAGAUAUGCGGAGGAACACCGAUGGCGAAGGCAGCCCCCUGGGCUGAGAUUGACGCUCAGGCACGAAAGCGUGGGGAGCAAACAGG